GGGGAUCUAGCUCAGGGGUAGAGCGCUUGCUUAGCAUUGUUUCGUACAACGUGCAUGAGGUCUUGGGUUCGAUUCCCAAGUUCUCCA